GUGACGCUUUGGGCAGGCCAUACGGACGCCAAAAAGUGUCCCUGGCCGCCUCCACCCACUAUACAUCCACAAACCCGUGUGCACUGUCUUGGAGAAAGGCUUCAGAGCAGUUUUUUGUGGCCUCUCUUGGGGUCUUUCUUCGCUACAAACUCGAAUGGUUAGUAUGAACGUGGAACGGGGUUGGACCGGCACGGGCCAACAAACGAUACA
rnacentral:misc_RNA from 1 species